AAUUUUGGGUUAAAUUUUGUUUGUAUUGUUAUUUGUUCCCACCAUUCGUGGAAAUCGUGCAUAGUUUUGAAUGAAGAGAAGUACGGCGGGAUUGGUGUGGAGGUGCUGCAAGUCAAAGUUAUGCAUAGGUAGCGGUCAGUUUCCUCAAGGUUGAUCCUGCUGUUGCUUGCCACCAAAAGACUCGGCUUAUUAAGAGGAUUUAGUUGAUAACCUGUUUAUGUACACAUGUUUUGGAGAGGGACUAGGGCUUCUUUAGGAAUGCUUAGGCCAUCUGGGAAUUUUUUUUUUUUUUUUUUUUGCUUCCAGUAAAAGUAAUGUCUUGGUUGUAUACAUAUGUUUAUGUAAUUUUUGUAGAACCCUAAGGGAGGUUUGCUGUAUGCGUGUAUUUACUAGUGUUUAUAACAGGUUGAUAUUUAGAUUAAAAGGCUUUGUGAUGGUUCAUGGCAGUAGAGGCUAGUAGCUACCAUGGUCAUAUCCUUUUCCAGAGUAAAAGGGUAAUCUGGGAGGGGGUGUGACACUUACUCCCACUCAGCUUACCCUCUUCAGGAAUACUGUAUUUGGGCGAUUUGUGGACAUGGACAUUAUCUUCAACAGUCCAUUGGUCCAUUACAUUCUAUUGAGGGAGGUUGAAGACCAUAGGAAGGAUUCAAUGACAUUUAAUUUGAAUGGUACAGUUGUAACAUUCACCAAAGAAGACUUCCUAUUGGUGACGGGAUUGUGGCAGUCACCUAAUCCAGUAGUUGUGAGAGGGCUGAAGGAACUGAAUCUCUACGUAAUAGAUACUUGAGGAAUGAUUUCGCAGGUAACAUCAAUAUUGGUACCUUAGAGACAAUGUACAAUCUACAAGGAGAUAGUGUUUGAGAAUGAUAUGGAUGCUGUGAAGAUGAUAUUGGUCUACUACACUGAAUUGACUAUGAUGGGAAAGGAGAAGACGAGGGCCAAUGUCGAUAAGAUCUUAUUAAUUGAUGUGGAGGAUUUAGAUUACUUCAACUCCAUGGAUUGGGGAAAUGUGUUGUGGGAGAGGAUGUUACUUGGACUACAAAGAGGAUUGAGUGGCAAGUCCAAGAACUACAAAAAAAGGUCCAAGAUCAAUAAGAACUACAUCGUCAAGUACAACCUACCAGGGUUUCCUCAUGCUUUUCAGGUGUGGGCAUAUGAGAUCAUUUCAACUGUUGCUGGAAAAGUUGUAACCCGACUCAAUGGACAUGACGUACCUCGAUUCCUGAGGUGGGAGUGAGCUAAAGCAAUAGUGCGAGAGUGUUUGAGUCUAUCGAGACAAGGAUCACACCCACACCUUGAUCAUGUCCAAUAAAGAGAGGCGAUAUAGAGACACUAGGGUCGAUGAACGACCUGUAUACGAGUGCAUUGAUGCUGAGACAACCUUCUCAUAGACACAUAAAUCACACCAUGAUGAGGAUGCUCGUAGUCACUCCAAUGACUAUGAGAGUCAUAAGCAUCAGGCUCAUGAGCCAGAACUCGAUGAGCAUCAGUCUCACGAGCUUCCUACUGACAAAUAUGUGUUCCCAACUGAGGAGCGAGGGUUGCCUCGAUUGAAUACAAUGCAUUCUGAGCCCAUUAGGGGUGUGGGCAUUUGCACACCACUCCGUAACAUAGAUUAGAUAGUGGCUAUGAUGAAGGGUAAAUUGGAUGAUGUACAGUCAUACUUGAAAGAUGUGAAGUCUGACUUGAGUAUCCUCAGGCCGACGUACAAACAAUCACCAACCUACUGCGAUCAUUGUGUCGGGUACUGAUAACUUGUAGAAAUACAAGUUAUUAAAGCUCAAAUUAUUAAAAAAAAUGAGAGAAUGUGAUAGUAAAUAGGCAAUAUUAUGAAUGAACGCACCAAACUAAAAACCAAAUAGCGAUCGUUAACUCUCAUUGCAUAAAAGCAAUUAAACUGAGUUA